rnacentral:rRNA from 1 species
GUACGAAGGGGGCUAGCGUUGUUCGGAAUUACUGGGCGUAAAGCGUGUCGCAGGCGGCCAUCCAAUGUCAGUGGUGAAAGCCCGGAGCUCAACUCCGGAAUUGCCAUUGAAACUGUUUGGCUUGAGGACGAGAGAGGUGAGUGGAAUUCCCAGUGUAGAGGUGAAAUUCGUAGAUAUUGGGAAGAACACCGGUGGCGAAGGCGGCUCACUGGCUCGUUUCUGACGCUCAUGCACGAUAGCGUGGGGAUCGAAACAGG